rnacentral:rRNA from 1 species
GACGAACGCUGGCGGCGUGCUUAGCACAUGCAAGUCGAACGGAAAGGCCCUGCUUUUGUGGGGUGCUCGAGUGGCGAACGGGUGAGUAACACGGAGUUAACUUCCCUUGACUUUGGGAUUACCUUAAGGAAAUGGGGCUAAUACCGGAAUAGAACUUCUGCUGGCAGGGGGGGGGUGGGAAGGUUUCGGCGGUUGGGGAUGGACUCGCGGCUUAUCAGCUUGUUGGUGGGGUAGUGGCUUACCAAGGCUUUGACGGGUAGCCGGCCUGAGAGGGUGACCGGCCACAUUGGGACUGAGAUACGGCCCAGACUCCUACGGGAGGCAGCAGUGGGGAAUAUUGCACAAUGGGCGGAAGCCUGAUGCAGCAACGCCGCGUGCGGGAUGACGGCCUUCGGGUUGUAAACCGCUUUCGCCUGUGACGAAGCGUGAGUGACGGUAAUGGGUAAAGAAGCACCGGCUAACUACGUG